GAUGAACGCUAGCGGCAGGCUUAACACAUGCAAGUCGAGGGGUAGAAGUUGCUUGCAACUUUGAGACCGGCGCACGGGUGCGUAACGCGUAUGCAACCUACCUUUUACAGAGGGAUAGUCCAGAGAAAUUUGGAUUAAUACCUCAUAGUAUAUAACCUUCGCAUGUUGGUUAUAUUAAAGUUCCAACGGUAAAAGAUGGGCAUGCGUCCUAUUAGCUAGUUGGUGUGGUAACGGCACACCAAGGCGACGAUAGGUAGGGGUCCUGAGAGGGAGAUCCCCCACACUGGUACUGAGACACGGACCAGACUCCGACGGGAGGCAGCAGUGAGGAAUAUUGGACAAUGGGCGCAAGCCUGAUCCAGCCAUGCCGCGUGCAGGAAGAAGCAUCUAUGGUGUGUAAACUGCUUUUGUACAGGAAGAAACACCCCUUCGUGAAGGGACUUGACGGUACUGUAAGAAUAAGGAUCGGCUAACUCCGUGCCAGCAGCCGCAGUAAGAC
rnacentral:rRNA from 1 species